GGGGGUGACCUGGUUUCGACGGAGUGUGUGAGUAAUCGCUUGCCAUCCGAGGUUGGUCUAACGGCCUCGUAAAAAAUAGACCAAAAAACAAAAGCCAACGAAAAUCUGGCUAUCGCAGCCUAAUUAGGCUGUGACGGUUCCCGGUAAAUUUCGCCAGUAAGAUGCCGAAGAACCGCCGACUAAACUGGCUGGAUGCCGCGUGGGGCUCCUGGCGUGCGUCAUCGAGACAAACCAGACGGAUCGGGUGAGUAGAGACCUGCCUGUGGGUUACGAAAACCUUAAACAAACAAAUUGCAGGACAUGAUGGUAGACGGCUCUUAUGAUCCUCUUCGGACGCGGGUUCGAUUCCCGCCACCUCCACUG
rnacentral:tmRNA from 1 species